rnacentral:rRNA from 1 species
AUUGAACGCUGGCGGCAGGCCUAACACAUGCAAGUCGAACGGUAACAGGAAACAGCUUGCUGUUUCGCUGACGAGUGGCGGACGGGUGAGUAAUGUCUGGGAAACUGCCUGAUGGAGGGGGAUAACUACUGGAAACGGUAGCUAAUACCGCAUAACGUCGCAAGACCAAAGAGGGGGACCUUCGGGCCUCUUGCCAUCGGAUGUGCCCAGAUGGGAUUAGCUAGUAGGUGAGGUAACGGCUCACCUAGGCGACGAUCCCUAGCUGGUCUGAGGGGAUGACCAGCCACACUGGAACUGGGACACGGUCCAUACUCCUACGGGAGGCAGCAGUGGGGAAUAUUGCACAAUGGGCGAAAGCCUGACGCAGCCAUGCCGCGUGUAUGAAGAAGGCCUUCGGGUUGUAAAGUACUUUCAGCGGGGAGGAAGGGAGUAAAGUUAAUAGCUUCACCGAUUGACGUUACCCGCAGAAGAAGCACCGGCUAACUCCGUGCCAGCCGCCGCAGUAA